AUACGGAGGGUGCGAGCGUUAAUCGGAAUUACUGGGCGUAAAGCGUACGUAGGCGGUUAGUUAAGUUAGAUGUGAAAGCCCCGGGCUUAACCUGGGAACUGCAUUUAAAACUGGCUAACUAGAGUUAAGUAGAGGGGAGUGGAAUUUCAGGUGUAGCGGUGAAAUGCGUAGAGAUCUGAAGGAACACCAGUGGCGAAGGCGACUCCCUGGACUUGAACUGACGCUGAGGUACGAAAGCGUGGGUAGCAAACGGGAUUAGAAACCCUAGUAGUCC
rnacentral:rRNA from 1 species